UGCUGUGUAUUUUUGCUUUCUAUUGACGCUGUAAUUUUAUUGACCGUUAUGAAAACAAUGCCGACUGAGCCGCGUUUGUACGUUACCCCGAAUUUCGAAGCGAGAAACCUAUCCGAGCGUCCCAUUACCUGCUGGGCAAAGGGAGCGGAGCGCAGCGCGCAGCAACCCGCCCACCUUUGUGCUGACCCCAUCCCCGCGCAGGGCACGGACAGACAGACAGACAAAAACUACUUUCCCUUUUACUAUUAUUACUAUUAUUAUUAUUAUUAAUUAUUUUUUCCCCCACCAGAGCCCAUUUGAAACCCAGCUUGCAGCGCGGGGCCGCGCUUUGUUGCAGCCCCCGGGGGCGGUACGGCGCUAUUGUCUGCGCGCUGCCGCGGGGCGAUGCGCGGCUGCGGAGGGGGCGAUGCGCGGAGCUGCGGCAAAACAAUGGCCGGGGGGGGGCUGAGGAAAAGGGGGAGCACCGAGGAAGGGAGGGGGGCGCCGAGGAGGAGGAGGAGGAGUGGGGGGUGGGGGGGCUCUCCGUGCUGCAGAGGCAGCGCCCGCUCCCCUCCCCGCCGGGCGCGCAGCGCUCAGCUCCGGCGCAGUGAAGAACAUAAUUGGGAGCGGGUUCAAUCACUACCAGUCUAGACUCGCCCAGACACAUCAAUUAGAGGGGCUGGCGGCUUAAAGGGACAGCGCGGCUGCUCCGGGCCUUGCUGCUGCAAGGGGAAAAAAUAAUACGAUCGGGGUAACCGAGAGUAAAGAAACCAUACGGUGAUAAAACAGGGAGGGAGGUCACGAAGCCGGACCCCGUCCUUUGCUUUUCCAGGCAGAACGAGUGAGACGGAAGGCGUUUUCUCGCCCCUCGGCCCCCAGCGCAGGUUCCGCGGGGCGCUGCGCCAAUGUCAGCGUUCCCCGAACGGAGCUGCGGUAUUAAUAGCCGACGGGAGGGAGUGCUGGGCAGGGAGCUGCGCUUCAGCGCUGCGCUUCUGCGGCGUUCUUUGCCUUCUGCAGACAAAAGGAGGGAUGUUGUGUUCGGGGUUCGCUUUGGCGUGGUGUCCGUAGCGGUAAAGGCAGAGCUCGUCUCAGCCUGACACCGUUCCUUCAGUGCUGGUUUCAUUCCGGUGCGUUUUAACCAGAAUGAAAGCAAGCUGUGGGCAAAAAGCAGUUUUGUGUUUGAAAAGGAAAAUGGCAGAGAAAAAUAAGUGUUGGGCGUGAGUUGAAUUAACAGAGAGAAGGAAUCGGGCUCGGUGCGGAUCGAAGGUCAUAUUCAGCUCUACAAAAUGCCAGGCUGGGGCUCGUUGCAGUUAGGGAUAUAUGGAAUAUGGCAUCCUGACAUUUAAUUUAACACAUUCCCAAGUAUUCUGUGUAACACGUCCUGCAGAUAAUUAAAGGGAGACACGGAGGACAAAGUAACGUCUGUCUUUGUGGAAUAUUGCACUUAGAAAAAAAUAAAACAACCCUCCGGUUUUGCACAGCUCCGAUAUGUGGGAGUUCUGUCUGAGCAGCAGCUGGAGCAUCCAGCUCUGGGAGUCUGACCUCCUUGCAGCUGAGUUGGAACUUGCUUUCCCAAGUUGAAAGGCGCUCGGGUUUGGUGGCUGUAAAAAGACAUAGAGGAUAAAAAUAAUCCAAGGCUUUCUGCACCUUUCUUCCAUCGCUGCCCUUUUGCUUUAACGUGAGGCUGCAUGGCCUCGUGGCUCCAAACCUGGAGGAAACUCUGUCUUUUCCUUCUGAAUCAUUUCCAAAGCGCAUAAGGAUUUUUUUGGGCCAGCCACCAAAUUGUAGCUGAGAUCCUAUAGCUGAGCGUAGCGACCAGUGCUGAUUAGAUGAUCGAUUAAUUUCUAAUUGAUUUCUAAUUCAAAACUUCAUUCUCCUUAUAAAUCUUUGUUGCUAUGAAGGCGCAGCUUAGGAGGAAAUCUGACUGCAGCCUCAAAGUCAUCUCGAGGCAGCCGAGCGCUCGCUGCAAAUGGCAGAAUUCUGCACCUCUUGCUGUCAGUGCUGUUAACUCUUUCAUUUCUCAGUGCUUUAACGUGAUGAAAUGUUUAUUCAUAAUCCGUUUGCGCACAGCCCCGGUAGGAACAGAAGGCAGAGUAUCAGGUAAACGCUCACCUGCUCCUCCUGCCAAAUGCGUUGAGCGCUUUAAUGGCCGCUUUCCUUUUGUGCUGCCCUAUUUUUUAAUUAUUAUUUUGGGGUUUUUUUUUUUUCUUUCCUGGGAGCAGAGCGGAGCGCGGCUGUGAGGUGGAGCAGCUGGCGGGGCUGUGGGUUCCUGCUGGCACCGUGCAGCUCUGCUCACCCACUGCCAACUGCACAGCGCUGCUGCCCGGCCCCGUUCCCAGCGCUCGGAAGGAAAGAGCAUCCCGGUUCUUCUUCACUCUUGGGAACACACACAUUGUUUCAAUAAUCCAGGCAAUAAAUGCUAAUUAGUAAUGCUUAAGGACCCUACCAGUCAGAGUCAUUACCAUAAUCUACCUCUUCCUUGUUAAAAACGCUCCUUGCUGCUUUAAAAUUUUGCCAGGCGAUGCUUUCUUUGCUCUUCCUUUGGAAAGCAAUCCCCAUUGCGUUAGCAAUGAGUGCAGCCCCGCUGCAGCACCGAGACAUUCUGUGGAGGCAAAGCAUGCUCUGCGUGUGGCAAAGGGGACCGGAGCUCGAGAGAAGUGCAUGGAGGUUUUCCCACAUGUCAGAUUUUCUUCUGAAGCAGAUAUUUUUGCUUUGCGUCCUUCUCUGCACCCUCCCCUCCCCAGCACCACCAAAACCCACUUACAGGGGGAGAACAAAGGAAAUCACGAACUAUAAAGGCAUCAUUAAGUGUGAGCAGCAACGGCGAGAUAGCGUGUGUGAUAUGACAACAUAUUUCACGGCACAAAAGUAGAGAUAAUUAAAUAAUUCAGCGGUAUUCUUAGCUAAUUAGCACGGAGAUCUUUCAGAAGCCAUCAGGAAAAUGGAUCUCAUCAAAUCUAAUAAUACGCUACAUUUCCCCACGAUGCUGUGUUUUCCAGCCUUGCUGCUCCUCCACCACCCCAUGCAGUAACACAAAAGGUUACAAAUAGUUGCACGUUUAAUUGGGCUGUUUUUCAGGAUCGUCUUUUCUGCACAAAAUGAUUCUCUCUUUAGAGGAGGGGGGGGAUAUAUAUGCGGCUGGAAUCUUCAAUGUUAGCCAAUAAAAAAGAAAAAUAAUAACAACAGUAGCUUCAUAAAAGCUGAAUGUGUUAAAAACGGUCCAUUAUUAUCAGCUAGGAGCCAUUUUGGGCUGGUUGCAAUGGGGCUGACUCACUUUGAGUUGGGCUCGGUGAAUUAACGCUGCUGUCCGAGAUCUUUUUAUAGAGUUAAUUGGGGACCUGGAUUGCCUGCUCUCUGAUUUUCCUGCCAUCGAGCAGCACGUGGCAGAGCUGGGGUGGGGCCUGUGCCCUCUGCUCUGCGUGCUCUGCUCUGAUAUCAAGGCCCGUGGUACCAGCUGGGCAGAACGCAGUGCUCAUUGCUUCGGGUGUCUGGCAGCAUGGCUGUAGUUACGUGCCAUGCCAACGCUCCCUCCCGUGGCUGCACGAGCUGUGCAGCAGCAAGCAGUGGCUGUGUGUGCUCACGAGCCCCAGCUGGCAGCCUGCAGGUGUGCAGGGCAGCACGACGGGUACCUGCAGGGUGCUGGCAGUGCUGCUGAGCCCACGGCACGCUCCCAGGAAUCCGGUGCAUCAGAUGUUAGUCGGAGCAUCUCGUUAAGCAAUGGUUCCGGCCUUUGCUCCGGUCCCAAACUGAGUGAUGGACUCUGGUGUUACAACCAUGCACGGUGCUGCUGGGGUGAGGUGCUCCGCCUCACUGUUACUCCUUUGCACGUGCAAGGAGGCUUUUCCUCCUCUGCAAUGAUGGAGACUGUUUCUUGUAGGGUGGGCGGAAGGAGUAUGAGGAGAAAAGGCAGCAGAAGGAAAUCAGCACACCUGCAGCAGUGCAGUAACUGCUGUCUGCAGGGCUGCAGUGCUUCACAGUGUACUUUCUUCUCCUAGGGGGGGGGUUCAGGUUGUGAGUAAGGUUACUGAAAUGCCAUGGGACCCUCUUAGGUCCCCCAGAUGUAAUUAUGAACAUGUUAUUUCUGUUAGCAAGUCACACAAAUUUUCCCCCAUUGUUUUGAGUUCCUUUUCUCUUGUGCCCUUCACCCAACUCUGUUAACUGUGUUACUAUCUGAGGACGUUACAGCCAAUUAAAAUUACACGUGUAUAUAUAUAUUCAAGAUGAAAGUUGAGUCUCUGAAUCACAAGGCAGGCCAAGCGGAAGGCUCAGACCGCGUGCUGCAGUUGUUGCUGUUGAGCAGCUCUUCCCAUCCAGCAGCCAAUGUCCCUCCGAUCCCCCGGGGCUGUGGUGCCCAGCACAGAACCCUUCAUUCCCAGUGCUCCUGCGUGCUGGGACCUCCAGCAGUGUCCCAACAGAGCGGGCUGAUGGAUGGGACACUGUAUCUCAAGUGUAUGUUCUUUGUAUCCUUAUGCAGUCUGGAUGGCGGGUGGUGGUCAGGAGGAGGGAGGGCGUGUAAGGGUGAGCGUAGGCUUUGCUGUGUAAUGUGUGCUUCUGUCCUUCAAGUAAGGCACAGCAUCCAGCAGCAAACGUCCCAGGAUGGUUUGUGCCACUUGUGGGCUCCGAGGGGUGGAUGGGCUCUGGCAAAACGUGCACGGACUGUCAGAGUGCUGCUGCUCAUCUCAAAUCCAACGUGCUGAGCCCACCUGGGCUGUGCGUGCUGUUGUGUGACUGCGGAAGAUGGGGCACAAAGGGCUCCUUGGGUGCUCUGUAUGGCACAGCAGAGGACGAGCCAAGCCAGCAUCUGAGAGGUCCCCAGCAGCUCCUGCAAGGCGCUGAACAACGUCUGCUGCUCCCCAAAGGCUGAAAGCACUCCCGGCCAUCACACGCCGCUCUCUUCGCUGCCGACGCCGCUUUUAAGAUGAAUGAUGUGAGAAAUGCUGCAAAGCAUCAGAGGUCGAGGAGCUGCCUCAGUGCACGGACACCGUUCUGCGUGGAGGCUGCGGCUCAGCUGAGCGCCCCUCCGGGGAGAGAGAGAAGUGGGGAAAAACGACAACCAGAAAAGAUUGGUGGACUUUGGUUUUCGUAUGCACCUGUGUUUGUAUCAUGCCUGAACCUGCAAAGAGUAACACGUGGUUAUUCGCAUGGAAUCCAGUAAAUGGUGAACCUGUAAAUCAGUGACCCGAAGUGUGCUUGUCUCAUUUGAUCCCCUCUCCCUUCCCCCAGGGUUCCCCCUUUGGAGCACCUGGAUGGAGUGCUUGGGGCUG
rnacentral:lncRNA from 1 species